rnacentral:rRNA from 1 species
CAGUCGAGCGGAACGAGUUAUCUGAACCUUCGGGGGACGAUAACGGCGUCGAGCGGCGGACGGGUGAGUAAUGCCUAGGAAAUUGCCCUGAUGUGGGGGAUAACCAUUGGAAACGAUGGCUAAUACCGCAUGAUGCCUACGGGCCAAAGAGGGGGACCUUCGGGCCUCUCGCGUCAGGAUAUGCCUAGGUGGGAUUAGCUAGUUGGUGAGGUAAGGGCUCACCAAGGCGACGAUCCCUAGCUGGUCUGAGAGGAUGAUCAGCCACACUGGAACUGAGACACGGUCCAGACUCCUACGGGAGGCAGCAGUGGGGAAUAUUGCACAAUGGGCGCAAGCCUGAUGCAGCCAUGCCGCGUGUGUGAAGAAGGCCUUCGGGUUGUAAAGCACUUUCAGUCGUGAGGAAGGUGGUGUAGUUAAUAGCUGCAUCAUUUGACGUUAGCGACAGAAGAAGCACCGGCUAACUCCGUGCCAGCAGC